rnacentral:sRNA from 1 species
UGAAAGUGACUUUGACAAUUCAGCAUGGAACUGUCUAUAUCUGUUAAAUUAUAUCUCUCUAAAUAUCCAAAACCAAAUAGUGUUUUGAGGGGUGUGUGUGUGUGUGUGUGUGUGUGUGUGUGUGUGUAUGUGUGCUAAUUCUGCCAUUUGCUCCUGCUAUCCAA